rnacentral:rRNA from 1 species
GGAUCCAGACUUUGAUUAUGGCUCAGGAUGAACGCUAGCUACAGGCUUAACACAUGCAAGUCGAGGGGAAACGACAUCGAAAGCUUGCUUUUGAUGGGUGUCGACCGACGCACGGGUGAGUAACGCGUAUCCAACCUGCCCAUCACUUGGGGAUAACCUUGCGAAAGUAAGACUAAUACCCAAUGAUAUCUCAAGAAGACAUCUGAAUGAGAUUAAAAAUUUAUCGGUGAUGGAUGGGGAUGCGUCUGAUUAGCUUGUUGGCGGGGUAACGGCCCACCAAGGCGACGAUCAGUAGGGGUUCUGAGAGGAAGGUCCCCCACAUUGGAACUGAGACACGGUCCAAACUCCUACGGGAGGCAGCAGUGAGGAAUAUUGGUCAAUGGGCGAGAGCCUGAACCAGCCAAGUAGCGUGCAGGAUGACGGCCCUAUGGGUUGUAAACUGCUUUUAUAAGGGAAUAAAGUGAGUCUCGUGAGACUUUUUGCAUGUACCUUAUGAAUAAGGACCGGCUAAUUCCGUGCCAGCAGCCGCGGUAAUACGGAAGGUCCGGGCGUUAUCCGGAUUUAUUGGGUUUAAAGGGAGCGUAGGCCGGAGAUUAAGCGUGUUGUGAAAUGUAGAUGCUCAACAUCUGCACUGCAGCGCGAACUGGUUUCCUUGAGUACGCACAAAGUGGGCGGAAUUCGUGGUGUAGCGGUGAAAUGCUUAGAUAUCACGAAGAACUCCGAUUGCGAAGGCAGCUCACUGGAGCGCAACUGACGCUGAAGCUCGAAAGUGCGGGUAUCGAACAGGAUUAGAUACCCUGGUAGUCCGCACGGUAAACGAUGGAUGCCCGCUGUUGGUCUGAAUAGGUCAGCGGCCAAGCGAAAGCAUUAAGCAUCCCACCUGGGGAGUACGCC